AUGGUGAACGUUCCGAAGACCAAGAAAACCUACUGCAAAAACAAGGAGUGCAAGAAGCACACGCUUCACAAGGUCACUCAAUACAAGAAGGGUAAGGACAGCCUGUCUGCCCAGGGAAAGCGUCGUUAUGACAGGAAGCAGUCGGGAUACGGUGGUCAGACCAAGCCCGUUUUCCACAAGAAGGCAAAAACCACCAAGAAGAUUGUGCUGAAGCUGCAGUGCCAGAGCUGCAAGCACUACUCCCAGCGCGCCAUCAAGCGGUGCAAGCAUUUUGAGAUCGGUGGAGACAAGAAGGGCAAGGGAACGUCUCUCUUCUAG
rnacentral:rRNA from 1 species